rnacentral:tRNA from 1 species
GGGGAUUUAGCUCAGCGAUAGAGCGCUUGCCUAGCAGCUGCAAGGCCCUGGGUUCGAUCCCCAGCUCCG